AGUGAACGCUGGCGGUAGGCCUAACACAUGCAAGUCGAACGGCAGCACUGUAAGAGCUUGCUCUUACGGGUGGCGAGUGGCGGACGGGUGAGGAAUACAUCGGAAUCUACUUUUUCGUGGGGGAUAACGUAGGGAAACUUACGCUAAUACCGCAUACGACCUACGGGUGAAAGCAGGGGAUCUUCGGACCUUGCGCGAUUGAAUGAGCCGAUGUCGGAUUAGCUAGUUGGCGGGGUAAAGGCCCACCAAGGCGACGAUCCGUAGCUGGUCUGAGAGGAUGAUGAGCAACACUGGAACUGAGACACGGUCCAGACUCCUACGGGAGGCAGCAGUGGGGAAUAUUGGAGAAUGGGCGCAAGCCUGAUCCAGCCAUACCGCGUGGGUGAAGAAGGCCUUCGGGUUGUAAAGCCCUUUUGUUGGGAAAGAAAAGCAGCAGGUUAAUACCCCGCUGUUCUGACGGUACCCAAAGAAUAAGCACCGGCUAACUUCGUG
rnacentral:rRNA from 1 species